rnacentral:lncRNA from 1 species
UUUUUCUUUUUCAUUCACAUCACAUAUACAUGUUUGGAAAUGUUAUAACGGAUGUGAAAGUUGAGUACUUUCUCUAAUGUGUCUACAAGCGACUUUGAACGAUGUUUCCAAUAAAAACAAAAAAAAAAGCUUUGAGCUUCAAUACAUUAGAUCACAAGUUAGGAAAAUCAGGUGUACGGUAUCUUCAUCCUCGUGCAGCAAUUGAUCCCUGUUUUAGUCUAAAC